UGGUGGCGAUGGCGGAGGGGUUCCACUCGUUCCCAUCCCGAACACGACCGUUAAGCCCUCCAGCGCCGAUGGUACUUGGACCGAAGGGUCCUGGGAGAGUAGGACGCCGCCA
rnacentral:rRNA from 1 species